rnacentral:rRNA from 1 species
AUACGAAGGGGGCUAGCGUUGUUCGGAAUUACUGGGCGUAAAGCGCGCGUAGGCGGACUGAUCAGUUGGGGGUGAAAUCCCAGGGCUUAACCCUGGAACUGCCUCCAAUACUGUCAGUCUUGAGUUCGGGAGAGGUGAGUGGAAUUCCUAGUGUAGAGGUGAAAUUCGUAGAUAUUAGGAAGAACACCAGUGGCGAAGGCGGCUCACUGGCCCGAUACUGACGCUGAGGCGCGAAAGCGUGGGGAGCAAACAGGAUUAGAUACCCCAGUAGUCC